rnacentral:guide_RNA from 1 species
AAUACAACGCUUUAGAUCAUAUCAGUGAGAGUGUGAAAU